rnacentral:rRNA from 1 species
UACAGAGGGUGCAAGCGUUAAUCGGAAUUACUGGGCGUAAAGCGUGCGUAGACGGUUACAUAAGUCGGGUGUGAAAGCCCCGGGCUCAACCUGGAAUUGCAUUCGAGACUGCGUAGCUAGGGUGCGGAAGAGGGAAGCGGAAUUUCCGGUGUAGCGGUGAAAUGCGUAGAUAUCGGAAGGAACACCAGUGGCGAAAGCGGCUUCCUGGUCCAGCACCGACGUUCAGGCACGAAAGCGUGGGGAGCAAACAGG